GGCGGGCCGUAGGUGAACCUGCGGAGGGAUCAUUACACAAAUAUGAAGGCGGGCUGGAACCUCUCGGGGUUACAGCCUUGCUGAAUUAUUCACCCUUGUCUUUUGCGUACUUCUUGUUUCCUUGGUGGGUUCGCCCACCACUAGGACAAACAUAAACCUUUUGUAAUUGCAAUCAGCGUCAGUAACAAAUUAAUAAUUACAACUUUCAACAACGGAUCUCUUGGUUCUGGCAUCGAUGAAGAACGCAGCGAAAUGCGAUAAGUAGUGUGAAUUGCAGAAUUCAGUGAAUCAUCGAAUCUUUGAACGCACAUUGCGCCCUUUGGUAUUCCAAAGGGCAUGCCUGUUCGAGCGUCAUUUGUACCCUCAAGCUUUGCUUGGUGUUGGGCGUCUUGUCUCUAGCUUUGCUGGAGACUCGCCUUAAAGUAAUUGGCAGCCGGCCUACUGGUUUCGGAGCGCAGCACAAGUCGCACUCUCUAUCAGCAAAGGUCUAGCAUCCAUUAAGCCUUUUUUUCAACUUUUGACCUCGGAUCAGGUAGGGAUACCCGCUGAACUUAA
rnacentral:rRNA from 1 species